rnacentral:rRNA from 1 species
GACGAACGCUGGCGGCGUGCCUAACACAUGCAAGUCGAGCGAUGAAGCCCUUCGGGGUGGAUUAGCGGCGGACGGGUGAGUAACACGUGGGUAACCUGCCUCAAAGAGGGGGAUAGCCUCCCGAAAGGGAGAUUAAUACUGCAUAACAUUAGUUUUUUGCAUGAAGAACUAAUUAAAGGAGUAAUCCGCUUUGAGAUGGACCCGCGGCGCAUUAGCUAGUUGGUGAGGUAAAGGCUCACCAAGGCGACGAUGCGUAGCCGACCUGAGAGGGUGAUCGGCCACAUUGGAACUGAGACACGGUCCAGACUCCUACGGGAGGCAGCAGUGGGGAAUAUUGCACAAUGGGCGAAAGCCUGAUGCAGCAACGCCGCGUGAGUGAUGAAGGCCUUCGGGUUGUAAAGCUCUGUCUUUUGGGACGAUAAUGACGGUACCAAAGGAGGAAGCCACGGCUAACUACGUGCCAGCCGCCGCUGUAACAC